CCGCUGAACUUAAGCAUAUCAAUAAGGCGGAGGAA
rnacentral:rRNA from 1 species